rnacentral:rRNA from 1 species
UACGAAGGGGGCUAGCGUUGCUCGGAAUCACUGGGCGUAAAGGGUGCGUAGGCGGGUUUCUAAGUCAGAGGUGAAAUCCUGGAGCUCAACUCCAGAACUGCCUUUGAUACUGGAAGUCUUGAGUAUGGGAGAGGUGAGUGGAACUCCGAGUGUAGAGGUGAAAUUCGUAGAUAUUCGGAAGAACACCAGUGGCGAAGGCGACACACUGGCCCGUUACUGACGCUGAGGCGCGAAAGCGUGGGGAGCAAACAGG